GGUUGCGCCACAACACGGCGCUGCGGCGCCACGCUGCCUAAACCUAUCCUUUCCCCAGUGAUUUAUUUAUUUUAUUUUUAUUUCUCAAAAUUUUUCUGUUGUUUUCCAACUUCUCCGUCCCCAAAUCUCUCUCAAACCCUACAUCUCUUACUCUUCUUCUUCCAUAUCCUAUAUACUAAUCUCUUUCGUACAUAUCAAGCCCAUUAUCUUCAACACCACCAAUGCAUAGAUCUCACACCUCAACAGAACUUUAACUUAGUGGGCUUUCUACACAUGGAAGGGUAAGUAUUUUACAUUUGUUUUUGGUGUGUGGUGCUAAUUUAUGCAAUAUUACACUUGGUGAUUGGAUGAAGUACGAAAUUUCUUAUGGGGUUUGAUAGAUUGUGUGGGUUUGAUACUUUGAGAUGUUGAAUUUAUGUUUGGGAUUAAGGUUGGAGAAAUUUUAGAGUUGAAUAGUGAAAGGAGUGCGAGGUGUUAGUUGAAAAACUUUACUUCCUUUGGUGACUUAAUUGUUAAUUUUCCCUACUUAUUUGAGGAAUUUUGCAGUACAUUAUUGUGGGAUUAAGUAGUUAGUAGUGACUUGAUUUGUUGAGGGAAUUGGUAUUUGGAACAUUCAUUAUAUUCUGUGAAGUUUGUAGUGGUUUUUGGGACAUUAUUGGGUUUGCUUAUGGUCGAUAUACUUGAUUGACAUUGUUGCUUUUCAGAGUGCUCAAUGCCAUCUAUUAAGAAAUCAAAAUCUUCGACCUCUUCAUAAAGCUCCUUUGACAACAGUAAAUUUGUGGGUGAGAAGCAAAGAAUCGAUAUAAUGACAUUGUAGUUCACAAAAAUUAUAUUCCAGGACGGAGUUUUGACGACCUUGAGCUUUAUAUAAUGGAACAGAUUAAGGGUAGGAAUUGGAAGUUUUUUACAGAGCAACCACGGUCAGGGUUAGUAGCAAUGGUGCAUGAAUUUUUCGCAAAUGUUAAGGACCACAAGGAUUUAAAGGUUUAUGUUAGAGGAAAGUGGAUCUGUUUUGACAAACCUUCGAUCAAUGAAUUCCGUGGAUUGCUAGAUGGUGAUGAAGAUGACUUCUUCAGAAUGCGUGAAGAGGGGCAAUCUUUCCGACAGACAUAAAUCGAGAGUUAGCCUCAUCCGGGCAUCACAUGGAAACGAUUCAGCACCGAUGCCACCAAUUUUCUGGCCGUGGGCAUGUUUCUAGAAUGCAAAGCAUGGCAUUAUUUUAUAUGUGCUAAACUUUUGCCGGCAACAAUAUUUAUUUUUGGUUUUAUGAGUUUUGGUGUAAUAUUUUUUGCUUAUUUUAUUCACCAGGACUCAAUAAUUAUUUUUACAAUAGAGUCAAUUUAGUUAAACAUUGAAUCAGGUUUCUUAUUGAAUAAUUCUAUGUAGCACUAUAGGAUAUAUGAGGAUAUUUGGUAGGGAUUAAAUUAGAUUUUUUAGUAGAUUGUAAUAGAAGUUUUUGAAAUGUGUGGUUAAAAAGUUG
rnacentral:lncRNA from 1 species